rnacentral:rRNA from 1 species
AGCGCGCCCUUCGGGGUGAGCGGCGGACGGGUUAGUAACGCGUGGGAAUAUGCCCGACACUAAGGAAUAGCCUCUGGAAACGGAGAGUAAUACCUUAUACGCCCUUCGGGGGAAAGAUUUAUCGGUGACGGAUUAGCCCGCGUUAGAUUAGAUAGUUGGUGGGGUAAUGGCCUACCAAGUCUACGAUCUAUAGCUGGUUUUAGAGGAUGAUCAGCAACACUGGGACUGAGACACGGCCCAGACUCCUACGGGAGGCAGCAGUGGGGAAUCUUGGACAAUGGGCGCAAGCCUGAUCCAGCCAUGCCGCGUGAGUGAUGAAGGCCUUAGGGUCGUAAAGCUCUUUCGCCAGGGAUGAUAAUGACAGUACCUGGUAAAGAAACCCCGGCUAACUCCGUGCCAGCAGCCGCGGUAAUACGGAGGGGGUUAGCGUUGUUCGGAAUUACUGGGCGUAAAGCGCGCGUAGGCGGAUUAGUCAGUUAGAGGUGAAAUCCCGGGGCUCAACCCCGGAACUGCCUUUAAUACUGCUAGUCUUGAGUUCGAGAGAGGUGAGUGGAAUUCCGAGUGUAGAGGUGAAAUUCGUAGAUAUUCGGAGGAACACCAGUGGCGAAGGCGGCUCACUGGCUC